CACAGGUGUAUUCAGAGGGAGAAAGCCCUGUCUAAGAAGCUGAUCCAUCAUCUCCUCAUCAUCUGCUUGUAUCUCAGAGACCAUGUUACAAGGAAUAAGGCCAAGCCGGGCACAGGUUUCCCCACGGUAGAAUCCAUCAGCGUCUUUAUCACCAUAAACCUAGAGCCAAGGGGGAAAAUAAAUCAAGCACUGUAAUUGAUUGGUUCAGAAAUACAAUAGUCCCACUGACGAUUCGGGAGCACAUCAGCUAAUAUUGGAGCGAAUAAGGACAUCGAAAACAAACCAUCCUUAGAGGACAGGGAUGGCAACCCCAGGCACUUUCCAAGGCAGGCGGGAAUGAGUGAACCGGGCCAGCGGGGGCCGAACAUCUGCCGUGCCCAUCAGGGAUCCGGCUCCGCUACAGCUCCUCACUGCCACGUGAGAACGUGUGCGCUGAGUGGCCAGAUCUCUGUACCACAUCUUGUAAUUUCUAAAGAGAACCCAGA
rnacentral:lncRNA from 1 species